AGCGAACGCUGGCAGCAGGCCUAACACAUGCAAGUCGAACGGAUCCUUCGGGAUUAGUGGCGGACGGGUGAGUAACACGUGGGAACGUGCCCUUUGGUUCGGAACAACUCAGGGAAACUUGAGCUAAUACCGGAUGUGCCCUUCGGGGGAAAGAUUUAUCGCCAUUGGAGCGGCCCGCGUCUGAUUAGCUAGUUGGUGAGGUAACGGCCCACCAAGGCGACGAUCAGUAGCUGGUCUGAGAGGAUGAUCAGCCACACUGGGACUGAGACACGGCCCAGACUCCUACGGGAGGCAGCAGUGGGGAAUCUUGCGCAAUGGGCGAAAGCCUGACGCAGCCAUGCCGCGUGAAUGAUGAAGGUCUUAGGAUUGUAAAAUUCUUUCAGCGGGGACGAUAAUGACGGUACCCGCAGAAGAAGCUCCGGCUACCUUCGU
rnacentral:rRNA from 1 species